rnacentral:rRNA from 1 species
AUUGAACGCUGGCGGCAGGCCUAACACAUGCAAGUCGAGCGAGCGGCGGACGGGUGAGUAAUGUAUGGGGACUGCCCGAUAGCGGGGGAUAACUACUGGAAACGGUGGCUAAUACCGCAUACUCUUGGAUACCCCAUAUGGGAUUAGCUAGUAGGUGGGGUAAAGGCUCACCUAGGCCACGAUCUCUAGCUGGUCUGAGAGGAUGAUCAGCCACACGGGGACUGAGACACGGCCCAGACUCCUACGGAGGAAGCAGUGGGGAAUAUUGCACAAUGGGCGAAAGCCUGAUGCAGCCAUGCCGCGUGUAUGAAGAAGGCCUUAGGGUUGUAAAGUACUUUCAGCGGGGAGGCGUUACCCGCAGAAUAAGCACCGGCUAACUCCGUGCCAGCAGCCGCGGUAAUAC